rnacentral:rRNA from 1 species
CCCUUAGAUGUUCUGGGCCGCACGCGCGCUACAAUGGUCUUCGCAAACGGAUGCAUUCUCGAAGGAGAAUGCCAAUCUUGUAAUCUAUGCCUUGGUCGGGACAGUUGCUUGCAAUUUUUCGACUCGAACCAGGAAUUCCUUGUAAUCGUGAUUCAUCACAUCACGAUGAAUACGUCCCUGCCCUUUGUACACACCGCCCGUCGCUCCUACCGAUCGAAGAGUUAGGUGAAUUGUUUUGAUCGAUAAGAUUUGACUAUGGUCAACUCUCGUUGUGAAAUUCUGUGAAUCUGACUGUUUAGAGGAAGGAAAAGUCGUAACA